rnacentral:rRNA from 1 species
GGAUUAGAUACCCUGGUAGUCCACGCUGUAAACGAUGUCUACUAGUUGUUGGGUGACUUGAUCACUGAGUAACGUAGCUAACGCGGUAAGUAGACCGCCUGGGGAGUACGGUCGCAAGAUUAAAACUCAAAUGAAUUGACGGGGGCCCGCACAAGCGGUGGAGCAUGUGGUUUAAUUCGACGCAACGCGAAGAACCUUACCUACUCUUGACAUCCUGCGAAGACUUUAGAGAUAGAGUUGUGCCUUCGGGAGCGCAGUGACAGGUGCUGCAUGGCUGUCGUCAGCUCGUGCCG